rnacentral:rRNA from 1 species
CUAGAUGACGCUGGCGGCGUGCCUAAUACAUGCAAGUCGAGCGAACGGACGAGAAGCUUGCUUCUCUGAUGUUAGCGGCGGACGGGUGAGUAACACGUGGAUAACCUACCUAUAAGACUGGGAUAACUUCGGGAAACCGGAGCUAAUACCGGAUAAUAUUUUGAACCGCAUGGUUCAAAAGUGAAAGACGGUCUUGCUGUCACUUAUAGAUGGAUCCGCGCUGCAUUAGCUAGUUGGUAAGGUAACGGCUUACCAAGGCAACGAUGCAUAGCCGACCUGAGAGGGUGAUCGGCCACACUGGAACUGAGACACGGUCCAGACUCCUACGGGAGGCAGCAGUAGGGAAUCUUCCGCAAUGGGCGAAAGCCUGACGGAGCAACGCCGCGUGAGUGAUGAAGGUCUUCGGAUCGUAAAACUCUGUUAUUAGGGAAGAACAUAUGUGUAAGUAACUGUGCACAUCUUGACGGUACCUAAUCAGAAAGCCACGGCUAACUACGUGCCAGCAGCCGCGGUAAUACGUAGGUGGCAAGCGUUAUCCGGGAAUUAUUGGGCGUAAAGCGCGCGUAGGCGGUUUUUUAAGUCUGAUGUGAAAGCCCACGGCUCAACCGUGGAGGGUCAUUGGAAACUGGAAAACUUGAGUGCAGAAGAGGAAAGUGGAAUUCCAUGUGUAGCGGUGAAAUGCGCAGAGAUAUGGAGGAACACCAGUGGCGAAGGCGACUUUCUGGUCUGUAACUGACGCUGAUGUGCGAAAGCGUGGGGAUCAAACAGGAUUAGAUACCCUGGUAGUCCACGCCGUAAACGAUGAGUGCUAAGUGUUAGGGGGUUUCCGCCCCUUAGUGCUGCAGCUAACGCAUUAAGCACUCCGCCUGGGGAGUACGACCGCAAGGUUGAAACUCAAAGGAAUUGACGGGGACCCGCACAAGCGGUGGAGCAUGUGGGUUUAAUUCGAAGCAACGCGAAGAACCUUACCAAAUCUUGACAUCCUUUGACAACUCUAGAGAUAGAGCCUUCCCCUUCGGGGGACAAAGUGACAGGUGGUGCAUGGUUGUCGUCAGCUCGUGUCGUGAGAUGUUGGGUUAAGUCCCGCAACGAGCGCAACCCUUAAGCUUAGUUGCCAUCAUUAAGUUGGGCACUCUAAGUUGACUGCCGGUGACAAACCGGAGGAAGGUGGGGAUGACGUCAAAUCAUCAUGCCCCUUAUGAUUUGGGCUACACACGUGCUACAAUGGACAAUACAAAGGGCAGCGAAACCGCGAGGUCAAGCAAAUCCCAUAAAGUUGUUCUCAGUUCGGAUUGUAGUCUGCAACUCGACUACAUGAAGCUGGAAUCGCUAGUAAUCGUAGAUCAGCAUGCUACGGUGAAUACGUUCCCGGGUCUUGUACACACCGCCCGUCACACCACGAGAGUUUGUAACACCCGAAGCCGGUGGAGUAACCUUUUAGGAGCUAGCCGUCGAAGGUGGGACAAAUGAUGG